rnacentral:rRNA from 1 species
GCUCAGGACGAACGCUGGCGGCGUGCUUAACACAUGCAAGUCGAACGAUGAACCACUUCGGUGGGGAUUAGUGGCGAACGGGUGAGUAACACGUGGGCAAUCUGCCCUUCACUCUGGGACAAGCCCUGGAAACGGGGUCUAAUACCGGAUAUGAGCCUGGGAGGCAUCUCCCGGGUUGUAAAGCUCCGGCGGUGAAGGAUGAGCCCGCGGCCUAUCAGCUUGUUGGUGAGGUAAUGGCUCACCAAGGCGACGACGGGUAGCCGGCCUGAGAGGGCGACCGGCCACACUGGGACUGAGACACGGCCCAGACUCCUACGGGAGGCAGCAGUGGGGAAUAUUGCACAAUGGGCGAAAGCCUGAUGCAGCGACGCCGCGUGAGGGAUGACGGCCUUCGGGUUGUAAACCUCUUUCAGCAGGGAAGAAGCGCAAGUGACGGUACCUGCAGAAGAAGCGCCGGCUAACUACGUGCCAGCAGCCGCGGUAAUACGUAGGGCGCAAGCGUUGUCCGGAAUUAUUGGGCGUAAAGAGCUCGUAGGCGGCUUGUCACGUCGAUUGUGAAAGCCCGAGGCUUAACCUCGGGUCUGCAGUCGAUACGGGCUAGCUAGAG